UGCAGUAGAACGCUGAAGAGAGGAGCUUGCUCUUCUUGGAUGAGUUGCGAACGGGUGAGUAACGCGUAGGUAACCUGCCUUGUAGCGGGGGAUAACUAUUGGAAACGAUAGCUAAUACCGCAUAACAAUGGAUGACACAUGUCAUUUAUUUGAAAGGGGCAAUUGCUCCACUACAAGAUGGACCUGCGUUGUAUUAGCUAGUAGGUGAGGUAACGGCUCACCUAGGCGACGAUACAUAGCCGACCUGAGAGGGUGAUCGGCCACACUGGGACUGAGACACGGCCCAGACUCCUACGGGAGGCAGCAGUAGGGAAUCUUCGGCAAUGGGGGCAACCCUGACCGAGCAACGCCGCGUGAGUGAAGAAGGUUUUCGGAUCGUAAAGCUCUGUUGUAAGUCAAGAACGAGUGUGAGAGUGGAAAGUUCACACUGUGACGGUAGCUUACCAGAAAGGGACGGCUAACUACGUGCCAGCAGCCGCGGUAAUACGUAGGUCCCGAGCGUUGUCCGGAUUUAUUGGGCGUAAAGCGAGCGCAGGCGGUUUGAUAAGUCUGAAGUUAAAGGCUGUGGCUCAACCAUAGUUCGCUUUGGAAACUGUCAAACUUGAGUGCAGAAGGGGAGAGUGGAAUUCCAUGUGUAGCGGUGAAAUGCGUAGAUAUAUGGAGGAACACCGGUGGCGAAAGCGGCUCUCUGGUCUGUAACUGACGCUGAGGCUCGAAAGCGUGGGGAGCGAACAGGAUUAGAUACCCUGGUAGUCCACGCCGUAAACGAUGAGUGCUAGGUGUUGGAUCCUUUCCGGGAUUCAGUGCCGCAGCUAACGCAUUAAGCACUCCGCCUGGGGAGUACGACCGCAAGGUUGAAACUCAAAGGAAUUGACGGGGGCCCGCACAAGCGGUGGAGCAUGUGGUUUAAUUCGAAGCAACGCGAAGAACCUUACCAGGUCUUGACAUCCCGAUGCUAUUUCUAGAGAUAGAAAGUUACUUCGGUACAUCGGUGACAGGUGGUGCAUGGUUGUCGUCAGCUCGUGUCCUGAGAUGUUGGGUUAAGUCCC
rnacentral:rRNA from 1 species